rnacentral:rRNA from 1 species
UACGUAGGUUGCAAGCGUUGUCCGGAUUUACUGGGCGUAAGGCGCGCGCAGGCGGCUGUGUAAGUAAGGUGUGAAAUCUCCCUGCUCAACGGGGAGGGUGCACUUUAGACUACACAGCUAGAGGUCGGUAGAGGGGGGUGGAAUUGCUGGUGUAGCAGUGAAAUGCGUAGAGAUCGGGAAGAACACCCGUGGCGAAGGCGGCUCUCUGGGACGGUACUGACGCUGAGACGCGAAAGCGUGGGGAGCGAACAGG